AUUGAACGCUGGCGGCAUGCCUUACACAUGCAAGUCGAACGGCAGCACGGGAGCUUGCUCCUGGUGGCGAGUGGCGAACGGGUGAGUAAUGCAUCGGAACGUACCCAGUAGUGGGGGAUAACGCACCGAAAGGUGCGCUAAUACCGCAUACGACCUACGGGUGAAAGCGGGGGACCGAAAGGCCUCGCGCUAUUGGAGCGGCCGAUGUCUGAUUAGCUAGUUGGUGGGGUAAAAGCCUACCAAGGCGACGAUCAGUAGCUGGUCUGAGAGGACGAUCAGCCACACUGGGACUGAGACACGGCCCAGACUCCUACGGGAGGCAGCAGUGGGGAAUUUUGGACAAUGGGCGAAAGCCUGAUCCAGCAAUGCCGCGUGUGCGAAGAAGGCCUUCGGGUUGUAAAGCACUUUUGUCGGGGAAGAAAUCUUUCGGGCUAAUACCCCUGGAAGGAUGACGGUACCCGAAGAAUAAGCACCGGCUAACUACGUGCCAGCCGCCGCCGUAA
rnacentral:rRNA from 1 species